CCCUUAGAUGUUCUGGGCCGCACGCGCGCUACAAUGAUGAAUUCAACGAGUUUAUAACCUUGGUUGAAAAGCCUGGGUAAUCUUUUGAACUUUCGUCGUGAUGGGGCUAGACCCUUGCAAUUAUUGGUCUCCAACGAGGAAUUCCUAGUAAACGCAAGUCAUCAGCUUGCAUUGAUUACGUCCCUGCCCUUUGUACACACCGCCCGUCGCACCUACCGAUUGAAUGGUCCGGUGAAAUCUUCGGAUUGAGACUUUGAUUUCUUCACGGAAAACGCUGUUUUAGAAAGUUGAUUAAACCUUACCAUUUAGAGGAAGGUGAAGUCGUAACA
rnacentral:rRNA from 1 species